UACCUGUGCCCACGGUCCGAGACCCGAGUCCAACCAACGAACCAACUCGAGUGAAACGGAAUCAGCGGUGGCUCAAGCCCUCUGGCUUUAUUAUUUCGGGGCCAUUGUUAUUAAUUCACCGUGUGGCGUGGCUAUGCGCUAAGAGCGUAAGCUUGUCACGGCCCUUCCACCACCACCACUACCACCCUUCUCUCCCCUCCCUACCUCGUACCGCGGCCACGUUGUUCUUUGCUGAAUUCAUUAAAUCAUCGGCAUUCCACGCGGCACGUGGCCCCGGCCCCCUUUUACAAGCUCUUUCGCUAAAUUAGGAUCCGGCUUGCUCCUCCGCUUCUUUCUCCCCUUCCCCAACCUCGUUCACCCGGAUACAAUGAGUUGGGACAAUUGCCUUUCGAUGUUUGUCGAUUUUCGAAUUUGCCCUCGUUCGAAGUGAACACGCGUUCGCGAAAUCUUCGCGUUUUUCAUCGAAAGAUGAGGUUAUGUUGGGUUAGAUGACGGAUAUUUUGGAAACAGUCGAAUUAGAUAUGAAUCUGACUGACACGCACCAGAUGCCGGGAACGACGAUGAACUAACCAGCAUGCCACGGUAUAUUUGCUUUGAUUUUGCUUAUUAAGCGUGUCUUGUAUAUCUUUAAAUGUGGGAACACUAUGUAAUAUCUACGAUAUUCAAAAAUGUAAACUAAGCACGAGGAUUCUUUUAUGAGGAGAAGGUAUACACAUUGUUAAGAAGAUAGAUAAGAGGAUUAAAAUAAGAUUGAAAUUAAUUUAUGAAGAAUUUUAAAUAAGUGGUUCUCAAGAUAUCUGAUAAUAAAAACUGCACAAACUGUAUUAUUGUGGAUGUAUUUGGAUUCCUUUGGAAAGUUAUGCAACCAAUAUUAAUAUCUUCUUCAAAACAAUUCUAGAAAUUAUUAAACUUGGAACAAAGGAUAUAAAGUGUAUUUUAAUUUGCCAUUAUGGAUAUUUUCAAUGUGAAACUGUACCAUUAUCAAUAUCUUAUUCACUAUUUUGAAAUUGGAAUGAAUGGAAUUAUUUUAGAAAGCUAUACAAUGUUACUAUCUAUUCAAAACAAUUUUGAAAAUGAUUGUAUAAAAUGAUCUUGAGAAUUGUAAUUAUCAUGUUUCCAUUUUACUUUUAUCAAAGGCACUAAUUAUAUAUUUAUUCUUCAAAAUACUUUUGGUUGUAAUUGUCAAUGUUUUCAUUACUUUUAUUAAAGACCAAUAUCACUAUCUAUUUAUUCUUUAAAAUAAUUUUGAAAUUAAUUGCAUAAAAUGGUGUUGAGAAUUGCAAUUAUCAAUAUUUUUAUAUUAUUAAAGACAUCAAUAUUAUCUAUUUAUUCUUCAAAACAAUUUUGAAGAUGAUUAUGUAAAAUGAUCUUGAUAAUUACAAUUGUCAAUUCAAUAUCACUUUUGGAAAUUGGAUAGAAAAGAUGUUUGAGUACAGUUUCUUGCCAAAAUUUUGAAAAAAAUUUUCACUUGAAAGCUAUUCCACAAAACUGCAUAUCGAAGCAUUCGAUAACGAACUAUAAUUUAACUUUUAAAACUUUCAAGUCAAUUCCAUCAUCGAUCGAACAAUGUCCCCAAUAAAUGCUAAUAUCAAAAAUUGUAUUCUUCCAGAAAAAAGAGUAAAUAAAUGACAAUCUCUUAUACUCCUUCGAACAUUCCAAUUGUUACAAAUAUCCUCUUAGAAAAGAGAGCGAAUGAUAACCAUGACAUCAACAUUUUGUCAAAUUUCCUAUACUUUUUUUAUCGCUGAAAGCAAUGUUGCCAAUUGUAAAUACUAUACUUAUGUAUACAUAUGUAUUCU